UUAGGAAAAAAUAGAGCUUAUCAAACUUUAGUAAGACUAAAAAUAGAAAUUCUCAUUCUCUAUGCAAAUGAUCAAACAUUUGAAUAAAUUACCAACUGAAAUUUCAAAUCAAACCUCUACAACCAAAUUUAAGAAUGCACUUGUUAUAAAGUCCUCCUUAAACAUUCUUUUGCCUACACUAAAUGUCCCUAUUGUUUUUAUCUUAAUAUGAAAAGAAAACCAUAAAACAUGUAAACAUUAAAAGUUUUAAAAAAAUUGUAAAAAGUUUAUAAAAUAAAAAAAAAUUGUAAAGUUUAUAAAAUAAAAAAAAAUUGUAAAGUUUAUAAAAUAAAAAAAAAAAAUUGUAAAGUUUGUAAAAUAAAAAAAAAUUGUAAAGUUUAUAAAAUUAAAAAAAAAUUGUAAAGUUUAUAAAAUUAAAACAAAUGUAAAGUUUAUAAAAUAAAAAAAAAUUGUAAAGUUUUAAAUUAAAAAAAAAUGUAAAUAACUUUAACCUUUUUCUCUACCAUAUGGCCUAUCCCACCUAUUCCAAAUACAGUACUGUUGAGUGCCACGCUGAGGCCCAAAGGCUAACGUAAUAAUAAGCAUUACGUCAUAAUGCCAGAGUCCUUGAUUUGGAAAAUGGCCGGCGCCAACCCAAUAUUCCAACAUUGUGGUUUCUGGUUUUGCAACCAGAAGAAGAUGAUAAACAAGAGUUUAAUGUUAACCAGCGUGGACCAAUUAGAAUGCUGAAUAAAAACUGGAAUUUUACAAAUGCUAAUUAUGUUCAUCAUCAUAACUACUUUAUCUGUAUUAUAAGAAAUAAUCUAGCGAAAAAAGAUUUUUCUUCUUUGAAGUCAUGAAAAAUUAUUCUAAAAAGAAUUUCUCAGUUUAUUCAACGUGCCCUAUAAGCAAGCGAGAGCACCUGAUAGCUUUGUAUAUGUUUUAAAUUCUUCCUAUUUUGAAAAUAAAAGAAAAGUGAUGUCUCAUUGUUGUUUUGUUUAGGAAAGUUUAUAUUUAAAAAAAAACAUCAGUCAAUAACUUUAAAUU
rnacentral:lncRNA from 1 species